rnacentral:rRNA from 1 species
UAGGGAAUUUUCGGCAAUGAGCGAAAGCUUGACCGAGCAACGCCGCGUGAGUGAUGAAGGCCUUCGGGUUGUAAAACUCUGUUGUAAGGGAAGAACAAGCAAGAUAGGAAAUGAUCUUGUUCUGACGGUACCUUACCAGAAAGCCACGGCUAACUACGUGCCAGCAGCCGCGGUAAUACGUAGGUGGCAAGCGUUAUCCGGAAUUAUUGGGCGUAAAGGGUGCGUAGGUGGUUUAUUAAGUCUGAGGUGAAAGUGCGGGGCUCAACUCCGUAUUGCCUUAGAAACUGAUAGACUUGAGUGUAAGAGGGGGCAAUGGAAUUCCAUGUGUAGCGGUAAAAUGCGUAGAUAUAUGGAGGAACACCAGUGGCGAAGGCGGUUGCCUGGCUUACAACUGACACUG